CCUAACACAUGCAAGUCGAACGGGAAGCGGUGCAUAUUGCUUCGGUGAUAAUGUGCCGUGGAGAGUGGCGAACGGGUGCGUAACACGUAGGUAACCUGCCCUGAAAGGGGGGAUAACCACGGGAAACUGUGGCUAAUACCGUAUAAUCUCGCCGUGGCGGUGGUUACGGUGAGGAAAGCUGAGGCGAUUUGGGAGGGGCCUGCGGUCGAUUAGCUGGUUGGUGGGGUAAAGGCCCACCAAGGCGAUGAUCGAUAGCUGUUCUGAGAGGAAGACCAGCCACACGGGAACUGAGACACGGUUCCGACUCCUACGGGGGGCAGCAGUGAGGAAUAUUGCGCAAUGGGGGGAACCCUGACGCAGCAACGCCGCGUGGAGGACGAAGGUUUUCGGAUUGUAAACUCCUUAACUGGGGGAAGAGAGAGGACGGUACCCCUGGACGAAGACACGGCUAACUAGGUGCCAGCAGCCGCGGUAAUACCUAGGUGUCGAGCGUUAUCCGGAAUUACUGGGCGUA
rnacentral:rRNA from 1 species